rnacentral:rRNA from 1 species
AGAGUUUGAUCCUGGCUCAGGAUGAACGCUGGCGGCGUGCCUAAUACAUGCAAGUCGAGCGAACGGACGAGAAGCUUGCUUCUCUGAUGUUAGCGGCGGACGGGUGAGUAACACGUGGAUAACCUACCUAUAAGACUGGGAUAACUUCGGGAAACCGGAGCUAAUACCGGAUAAUAUUUUGAACCGCAUGGUUCAAAAGUGAAAGACGGUCUUGCUGUCACUUAUAGAUGGAUCCGCGCUGCAUUAGCUAGUUGGUAAGGUAACGGCUUACCAAGGCAACGAUGCAUAGCCGACCUGAGAGGGUGAUCGGCCACACUGGAACUGAGACACGGUCCAGACUCCUACGGGAGGCAGCAGUAGGGAAUCUUCCGCAAUGGGCGAAAGCCUGACGGAGCAACGCCGCGUGAGUGAUGAAGGUCUUCGGAUCGUAAAACUCUGUUAUUAGGGAAGAACAUAUGUGUAAGUAACUGUGCACAUCUUGACGGUACCUAAUCAGAAAGCCACGGCUAACUACGUGCCAGCAGCCGCGGUAAUACGUAGGUGGCAAGCGUUAUCCGGAAUUAUUGGGCGUAAAGCGCGCGUAGGCGGUUUUUUAAGUCUGAUGUGAAAGCCCACGGCUCAACCGUGGAGGGUCAUUGGAAACUGGAAAACUUGAGUGCAGAAGAGGAAAGUGGAAUUCCAUGUGUAGCGGUGAAAUGCGCAGAGAUAUGGAGGAACACCAGUGGCGAAGGCGACUUUCUGGUCUGUAACUGACGCUGAUGUGCGAAAGCGUGGGGAUCAAACAGGAUUAGAUACCCUGGUAGUCCACGCCGUAAACGAUGAGUGCUAAGUGUUAGGGGGUUUCCGCCCCUUAGUGCUGCAGCUAACGCAUUAAGCACUCCGCCUGGGGAGUACGACCGCAAGGUUGAAACUCAAAGGAAUUGACGGGGACCCGCACAAGCGGUGGAGCAUGUGGUUUAAUUCGAAGCAACGCGAAGAACCUUACCAAAUCUUGACAUCCUUUGACAACUCUAGAGAUAGAGCCUUCCCCUUCGGGGGACAAAGUGACAGGUGGUGCAUGGUUGUCGUCAGCUCGUGUCGUGAGAUGUUGGGUUAAGUCCCGCAACGAGCGCAACCCUUAAGCUUAGUUGCCAUCAUUAAGUUGGGCACUCUAAGUUGACUGCCGGUGACAAACCGGAGGA